AGAGAGAGAGAGAAACAUCUGAUUGGUGUGGAGCUGUGUGGUGUGAAGGAUGAGCACAGGAAUACAUUCCUGAGGAGGACGCAAGAGAAAUGAAGGGUCCCUGAAGGAAUGAGUCUCUGACGUGUGGACAGACAGAACCGAUACACUGGACAAGAAAGUCUGCUGAAAACUCGCAUGCUCAGUUGAAGAUGAUGCCAUCAUGUGAUGAACGUGUGGUGGCGUUUGAAGACAUAAGUGGAGCACAUACCCUCUUGACAGUUUUGGAGAUUCACGUACCCAUCAUCGUCUACUUUAUGAAUCAUUGGAAUGGUCUUCUUUUUAUCAAAGGAGGAAAUCGCAUGGAUGUUUAAUGCUAACAAACUUUUUUUGGUUUCAUCAUCACCACAAAGGUGCAGUGAAUCAGGUGCCAGCACCUGAUGGCGGCUUGCCGGCUUGUUUGUGAAGACAAUUUUAACUGGAAUGGAACGUUGUUCGGAGAGCCUCCUCUCUCCUGGCUUGUUUAUUUUGUGAAGUAAAAACUGUGUUGUAUUUACUCGCGAAAUUGUUGAAAGUGAAUGCUGAGUGUUGAAUUUGAGAUAUAUUCAGAGCCAGUGUGCUGAGGACAGUGCCUUUUUUGUUUUAUUACAUUUUCUCAUGUUUUUUGGUCAGGAAGGUAAGUGAAUUUUAUUAAGUUUAUUGUGCUAGUAAGGGGGUUAAAAUGUUAUUAGUUGU